rnacentral:rRNA from 1 species
GAUGAACGCUGGCGGCGUGCCUAAUACAUGCAAGUCGAGCGAACGGACGAGAAGCUUGCUUCUCUGAUGUUAGCGGCGGACGGGUGAGUAACACGUGGAUAACCUACCUAUAAGACUGGGAUAACUUCGGGAAACCGGAGCUAAUACCGGAUAAUAUUUUGAACCGCAUGGUUCAAAAGUGAAAGACGGUCUUGCUGUCACUUAUAGAUGGAUCCGCGCUGCAUUAGCUAGUUGGUAAGGUAACGGCUUACCAAGGCAACGAUGCAUAGCCGACCUGAGAGGGUAGUCGGCCACACUGGAACUGAGACACGGUCCAGACUCCUACGGGAGGCAGCAGUAGGGAAUCUUCCGCAAUGGGCGAAAGCCUGACAGAGCAACGCCGCGUGAGUGAUGAAGGUCUUCGGAUCGUAAAACUCUGUUAUUAGGGAAGAACAUAUGUGUAAGUAACUGUGCACAUCUUGACGGUACCUAAUCAGAAAGCCACGGCUAACUACGUG